rnacentral:tRNA from 1 species
GCGCUCUUCGUCUAUCGGUUAGGACUCCAGAUUUUCAUUCUGGCAAGACGGGUUCGACUCCCGUAGAGCGCGCCA